ensembl:lncRNA
GGGUAACACUGUUGUUUUUAUCAAAUGAAACAUGAGGGGUGACACUGUCAUUUUUCUUUGGUCGUCAGGAAAAAAAACAUAAGGGGUAACACUGUUGUUUUUUAUUGGUCGUCAUGAAAAAAAACACAAGGGGUAACACUGUUGUUUUUUAUUGAUCGUCAUGAAAAAAAACAUAAAGGGUAACACUGUUGUUUUUUAUUGGUCGUCAUGAAAAAAAACAUAAGGGGUAACACUGUUGUUUUUUAUUGGUCGUCAUGAAAAAAACAUAAGGGGUAACACUGUUGUUUUUUAUUGGUCGUCAUGAAAAAAAACAUAAGGGGUAACACUGUUGUUUUUUAUUGGUCGUCAUGAAAAAAACAUAAGGGGGGUAACACUGUUGUUUUUUAUUGGUCGUCAUGAAAAAAAACAUAAGGGGUAACACUGUUGUUUUUUAUUGGUCGUCGUGAAAAAAAACGUAAGGGGUAACACUGUUGUUUCUUAUUGGUCGUCAUGAAAAAAAACAUAAGGGGUAACACUGUUGUUUUUUAUUGGUCGUCAUGAAAAAAAACAUAAGGGGUAACACUGUUGUUUUUUAUUGGUCGUCAUGAAAAAAAACAUAAGGGGUAACACUGUUGUCUUUGUCAAAUAAAAUACAAGGUGUAACACUGUCGUUUUUUAUCAGGCGUCAUGAAAUAAAACAUAAGGGGUGACACUGUUGUUUUUUAUUGGUCGUUAUGAAAAAAACCAUAAGGGGUAACACUGUUGUUUUUUAUUGGAGGUCAUGAAAAAAACCACAAGGGGUAACACUGUUCUUUUUUAUUGGUCGUCAUGAAAAAAAACAUAAAGGGUAACACUGUUGUUUUUUAUUGGUCGUCAUGAAAAAAAACAUAAGGGGUAACACUGUUGUUUUUUAUUGAUCGUCAUGAAAAAAA